rnacentral:rRNA from 1 species
GAUGAACGCUGGCGGCGUGCCUAAUACAUGCAAGUCGAGCGAACGGACGAGAAGCUUGUUUCUCUGAUGUUAGCGGCGGACGGGUGAGUAACACGUGGAUCACCUACCUAUAAGACUGGGAUAACUUCGGGAAACCGGAGCUAAUACCGGAUAAUAUUUUGAACCGCAUGGUUCAAUAGUGAAAGACGGUCUUGCUGUCACUUAUAGAUGGAUCCGCGCUGCAUUAGCUAGUUGGUAAGGUAACGGCUUACCAAGGCAACGAUGCAUAGCCGACCUGAGAGGGGGGUCGGCCACACUGGAACUGAGACACGGUCCAGACUCCUAAGGGAGGCAGCAGAAGGGAAUCUGCCGCAAUGGGCGAAAGCCUGACGGAGCAAGGCCGCGUGGGUGAUGAAGGUCUUCGGAUCGUAAAACUCUGUUAUUAGGGAAGAACAGAUGUGGAAGUAACUGUGCACAUCGUGACGGUACCUUAUCAGAAAGCCACGGCUAACUACGUG